rnacentral:lncRNA from 1 species
CAGCAUACAAGGGCCACCUGGGAAGUGGCCACUGAAUCUGGGCUCAGGCUAUAGGCCCCCUCUCUUGAUCUUCAAGUUCAGUCUCCCAUUUUUCCUUGUCAUUUUUGUUUUGCCAGCUUUCAGUGGCAGCAGCCCCUCCCCCUGGGGCUCAGAGCUGGAGAGGGAGUUUUAAGUGGUUUCUGCAAAAUAUUUUGGAGGAGAAUGAUCUGCCUUUAGUAGUCAAGGACUCUUCUUGCAACACUCAGGCUCUGUUUUAUGGACAGAAAGAGUCCAGGAGGCUCUCUGAGCCACACAAGGCCCUUUGCAACCUUCCUGGGCUCGGGCUGCGAGCAGCCAUUUUGGAACAUGUGAAACGGAUUUUAAAUUCCCUCUUUGCAGUUUGAGAAGAUGGCGGCCUGAACCGGAGUCCUUCUUCCCCUCCUCCCUCUCCGCUGCUGCAAUGCCCAGGCCCCCCGCAACGUUCCUCGUCUGUAAUGGUGCCAGAGGCUUUAAAUCUUGCAGAAGCCACAUCUGCUGCCUGCAGUCUCCGGUAUGUCAUUAUCAGCAGUGUGAAAAUGGACUCACUCCCACCCUGUCUGGAUCUGGACAAGAGCCCACCACCCCGUUGGCAGUAGUCAGGCAGCUCUGCUUCUAAGAACCUGCAGCUUUUGGAAGAAAGGCACCCUGUGGUUUCAGAAGCCCAAGAGUCCCUGCAGCUCAGCACCCCCAGCCUGGUGCUUGGCAGAUGACUGCCUCCUCACUUAGCAGAGGGAGCAGAAAACUGUGUAUUCUUCAGAACAUCAUGAUAACCUGGCACUCAUGGGUCUAUGGAGAGAAUUCAGGGGGUCUGGGAGCUUGGAUGGAAUAAAUUUGCAUCUUUAUUUUCAGGAAAGUUUUACUGAAGUUUAGCAUUUUCUUUCAUUAUAAAUGGAAUCAGUAUAACCCAAUAGUAUGAGCAGUUACUUCUCCGCAACAUCAAAGUGGCUGCAGAUAUCUCAAAAUAGUAUUUACAUUUAUCAUAACUUAGAAAUUUGGGUGGUAAUUAAACCAGCAACUAUUCUUUGUUUAAUGCAUUAAGAAAGAAGUAUGUAUACUAUCAUAUCUCAAUUAAAAAUAUUUUAAGAACUGGA